rnacentral:rRNA from 1 species
AUUGAACGCUGGCGGCAGGCCUAACACAUGCAAGUCGAACGAGGGGAGGGCGGGUGAGUAAUGUGUGGGACACGGCCUGAUGGAGGGGGAUAACUACUGGAAAGGGUAGCAAAUACCGCAUACAAUCGGAUGUGGCCAGAGGGGAUUGGCUAGUAGGUGGGGUAAAGGCUCACCGAGGGGACGGUCCCUAGCUGGUCUGAGAGGAUGACCAGCCACACUGUAACUGAGACACGGUCCAGACUCCUACGGGAGGCAGCAGUGGGGAAUAUUGCACAAUGGGCGCAAGCCUGAUGCAGCCAUGCCGCGUGUAUGAAGAAGGCCUUCGGGUUGUAAAGUACUUUCAGCGGGGAGGCGUUACCCGCAGAAGAAGCACCGGCUAACUCCGUGCCAGCAGCCGCGGUAAUAC